UAGGGAAUCUUCCACAAUGGACGCAAGUCUGAUGGAGCAACGCCGCGUGAGUGAAGAAGGUUUUCGGACCGUAAAGCUCUGUUGUUGGUGAAGAAGGAUAGAGGUAGUAACUGGCCUUUAUUUGACGGUAAUCAACCAGAAAGUCACGGCUAACUACGUGCCAGCAGCCGCGGUAAUACGUAGGUGGCAAGCGUUGUCCGGAUUUAUUGGGCGUAAAGCGAGCGCAGGCGGAAGAAUAAGUCUGAUGUGAAAGCCCUCGGCUUAACCGAGGAAUUGCAUCGGAAACUGUUUUCUUGAGUGCAGAAGAGGAGAGUAGAACUCCAUGUGUAGCGGUGGAAUGCGUAGAUAUAUGGAAGAAUACCAGUGGCGAAGGCGGCUCUCUGGUCUGCAACUGACGCUGAGGCUCGAAAGCAUGGGUAGCGAACAGGAUUAGAUACCCUUGGUAGUCCAUGCCGUAAACGAUGAGUGC
rnacentral:rRNA from 1 species